UCAGUCUUCAAUUCCUCCCAGC
rnacentral:miRNA from 11 species